rnacentral:rRNA from 1 species
UACGUAGGGUGCAAGCGUUAAUCGGAAUUACUGGGCGUAAAGCGUGCGCAGGCGGCUUUGCAAGUCAGAUGUGAAAACUCGAGGCUCAACCUCGAGACGUCGGUGGAAACCGCAUGGCUAGAGUCCGGAAGAGGAGAGUGGAAUUCCCGGUGUAGCGGUGAAAUGCGCAGAUAUCGGGAAGAACACCCGUGGCGAAGGCGGCUCUCUGGGACGGUACUGACGCUGAGACGCGAAAGCGUGGGGAGCGAACAGG